CGGGAAUCCUAGUGGCGAACGGGUGAGUAACGCGUUGGUGACCUGCCCCAAAGUGUGGGAUAACAGUCCGAAAGGAUUGCUAAUACCGCAUGUGGUCAUUGGAUUUAGAAACCGAUGACUAAAGGAGUAAUCCGCUUUGGGAGGGACCUGCGUCCCAUCAGCUAGUUGGUGAGGUAAUGGCUCACCAAGGCUACGACGGGUAGGGGACCUGAGAGGGUGGCCCCCCACAAUGGAACUGAAACACGGUCCAU
rnacentral:rRNA from 1 species